AUUGAACGCUGGCGGAAUGCUUUACACAUGCAAGUCGAACGGCAGCAUAGGUGCUUGCACCUGAUGGCGAGUGGCGAACGGGUGAGUAAUAUAUCGGAACGUGCCCAGUCGUGGGGGAUAACGUAGUGAAAAUUACGCUAAUACCGCAUACGAUCUAAGGAUGAAAGCGGGGGAUCGCAAGACCUCGCGCGAUUGGAGCGGCCGAUAUCAGAUUAGGUAGUUGGUGAGGUAAAGGCUCACCAAGCCAACGAUCUGUAGCUGGUCUGAGAGGACGACCAGCCACACUGGAACUGAGACACGGUCCAGACUCCUACGGGAGGCAGCAGUGGGGAAUUUUGGACAAUGGACGCAAGUCUGAUCCAGCCAUUCCGCGUGCAGGACGAAGGCCUUCGGGCUGUAAACUGCUUUUGUACAGAACGAAAAGGUCUCUAUUAAUACUAGGGGCUCAUGACGGUACUGUAAGAAUAAGCACCGGCUAACUACGUGCCAGCCGCCGCGGUAA
rnacentral:rRNA from 1 species